CAAAACUGUCAACACAUGAAGAAGGGAUAUGGGAUUGAGGAGCAGGGGAGAGAGGUUCAGUGAGAGAGACCAGAAAGCUAUUGAUGCGUGGCUGAUUCUGGAGCUGCCCCUCCGCCGGACCUAAUGGGAAACGUCCUGCUUCAUUGAAACAGUCAGGAUGUUAAUGCUCGGAUAAGUGAAGACACACAUGUCUCAGCUAAUAUCCCAGACGUAGCGGACCGAUUAUGCAGCACCGUCGUGCAAUUUCCUCUCGGGUUUUAUUUCUUUGGCCCAGCAUCAUGCAGAUGGCGUGCUCUGCGUGCUGGGAGCAAGUGUGGAGAUGAUAAAAUAGAAAUAAGAGACAUUUGGCUAUCACUUAAGCUGCAGGUUGACACUAGAUCUGAUUGAAAGUCCAGCAGGUCUCGUUCAUGAUUCUCUGUCCCUGCUCCCCCUUGGUCAAGAAAGGUGCCUGCUGAACUCCCCCGACAAUCUCCAAACCCCGCUCUUGUUAGCCCUGGCGAGGCUAGUUAGCUCCGCUUCUCACCAGAGACAUUUGACCGAAUGAUCCUCCCCACUAAAGUCCCAGGAUGUACACACACACACACACACACACACACACACACACACACACACACACCCUCCCUGGUGUGGCCCAAGGCUCCCCUUCCAGUGUUAAAGUCUUCAUUGGGGACCUCCUGCCUACCUUUUUGAGUUUCUCUAACAUUUUCAUGGGAAAAAGCACCUUCCUCUGUUCUUUCAGCUCCACAUCCGUCUUCCUUCAGAGCCCGGCUUGCAGGGCCCCUCCUCCAGGACGUCCUCCUUAUUUUUUUUUUUGGCUAGCCUUCUCUUUGUCUUAGUGGCUUGCACCUAUUUUAAAGAUUACUCUCAGCACAGAAAUCCAGCUUUCCUAAAGUUGCAGAUGCCUCUCCUCAAUUCCUCCAUCUCCACAUCCCACCAUCCUGUAACCCGGAAACCUCAUUCCUUUUGUACUUCUGGUCAGUUCAGUAUUGGCUGUAGAGGCCAGGGCCGCUUGGGUCUCCAGACACCUGCAUCACGGGCUGAGUGAACUUCUGAAACCCUCUUUCUCACCCCACUCUCUGACUAGACCAAUUCUAGUUUAACCAAAAUUCAAGACUAUAUUUUUGCUUCUUCCAUUUAAUGAUUAACUUACUUCAAAGAAUUCAAAAGCCCAAAUACAGUGACGACUGACCUAGUUUCUAACUGAUCCUAAUGAUGUUUCUCAUGAGGGUCCAUCCUCUGGGCUCUGGUCUAUUGAUGGUGAGAACGUGAAUUCCUUUGGCACACCUGUUUUGCUUCUCAAGCAGAUGGAAAUAUCGGUCUGUCCCCUUGGCUUCGCCUCUCAUGGAAGUCUAGUAUAUAAAGCAGAUGCUUUCUUUUCAGCCCCAGGCUCCUGCCACAACCGCAAGGGACUUGACCUCAUGUGCCCAUGUGGGAAUCUCAGGAGUGCUCUGCGGGUGUGGCCCUAAAAAGACAAAAGACAAAAAACCAAAAAACAACCCUCUGAACACUGGAUAGGCUCCUGAUGUGCAGCAUAAAACCACAGAGACCAUCCCUUCUGAAGUGUCUGCUUGGCUUCAGGAACCAUCUUCUGACGGUCUGAACGUCUCACUCUUUCACUAAGAAGACCAGGGAUGCGGAGCCCAAGAAAAGAAAACGCCAGGUGAAGAGAUGUGAGAAAGUGGCAGGACACUGACCCAAAAUUCCAGAAGCUGAGCUUCCAGUCCUGGUUCUACCAUCACCAGCUCCAUGGCCCUGAUCUAUGUGAUCUGGGUGGAGUAAGAAGCUCUGGUCUGGCCGUGGGUGAACCCCAUUCUCCCGACACGAUGGUAAUAGGUCUGGGGGUGGUCAUGUGACCCAACCCAGACCAGUCAGAGCCAUUGAGAACCACUCCUGGCACUUCCAUCGGAACUGGAAUGGAGGUGAGGUGGGACCUGCACUGCUGUGGCCGUCUUGCCACCCCGGAGGAGAACAGGUUUGAGAUGGAGCCAACCAGAGUCAGCAGACCUGAGAGAGAAGAGAGAAAUCAGGGCUUGAGAAAGUCAUUUAUAUCUGUCCACCUGCCUCAGCUCGAUGCUGGAGUUUUCAGCUUACACUUGAGCCAGUGUAAUAAAUAAAUACAUCUGAACAAACAAA